rnacentral:rRNA from 1 species
CAUCAGCCGCGGGAAUACAGAGGGUGCAAGCGUUAAUCGGAAUUACUGGGCGUAAAGCGCGCGUAGGUGGUUUGUUAAGUUGGAUGUGAAAUCCCCGGGCUCAACCUGGGAACUGCAUCCAAAACUGGCAAGCUAGAGUAUGGUAGAGGGUGGUGGAAUUUCCUGUGUAGCGGUGAAAUGCGUAGAUAUAGGAAGGAACACCAGUGGCGAAGGCGACCACCUGGACUGAUACUGACACUGAGGUGCGAAAGCGUGGGGAGCAAACAGGAUUAGAUACCCCAGUAGUCCCUGUCUCUUAUAC